rnacentral:rRNA from 1 species
UACGUAGGGGGCAAGCGUUGUCCGGAUUUAUUGGGCGUAAAGCGCUCGCAGGCGGCUUCGUGCGUCGUGCGUGAAAGCCCUCGGCUCAACUGAGGGUGGUCGUGCGAUACGGCGGAGCUGGAGGCCGGUAGGGGGACGUGGAAUUCCCGGUGUAGUGGUGGAAUGCGUAGAGAUCGGGAGGAACACCAGCGGCGAAGGCGGCGUCCUGGACCGGUACUGACGCUCAGGAGCGAAAGCGUGGGGAGCGAUC